rnacentral:misc_RNA from 1 species
AACGCAUAUGGCACCCGAGACCUCGGUCGAGGGUAUGUCUGUCUCAGAGUCGGCGUAAAAACAUCCCCAAAGGAAGAAGCCAACCGACCCGACCCCUUCAAGGGGGGGAGGAAGGAGGCGUCCGUCCGGCGGGGGAGCUGGCCUUCCCGGGCCCUGGCGGCCCGGGUCGGCUGAAGGGGAGAGACGGGGGACCGCACGCGCGGACAGCCACGAUUUUGGUGGGAGGACCCAGCGUCCGCAUCAUCGAUCGAGGCCGUCCUGUCGAAAGCGUCGGGAAGCAGGAGCCCCCGCCCUCGCAGGAAAGCCAAGGAAGCAGCGAUGCUUCCCGCCGUGGUUCCGACCUGAGAUCAGGCAAGAUCACCCGCUGAACUUAA